rnacentral:rRNA from 1 species
UACGGGGGGGGCAAGCGUUGUUCGGAAUUACUGGGCGUAAAGGGCUUGUAGGUGGCCAACUAAGUCAGACGUGAAAUCCCUCGGCUUAACCGGGGAACUGCGUCUGAUACUGGAUGGCUUGAGUGUGGGAGAGGGAUGCGGAAUUCCCGGUGUAGCGGUGGAAUGCGUAGAUAUUGGGAAGAACACCGGUGGCGAAGGCGGCUAUCUGGCCCGUAAUUGACGCUGAGGCGCGAAAGCGUGGGGAGCAAACAGG